GAUUUCUGGCUUGAAACAUUUAGCCGGCCACGGUUUCGUGUGUUAGUGCUUUGUGUUCUGGCCAUCCUUCCAAUCGCUUCUGGCUAUUCUUCAUUGAUUGGUCAGGGGUAUUGGAUCUUUUACUUUGAAAAAAUUAGAGUGUUUCAAGCAGGCUUUAUGCUAUGAAUACAUUAGCAUGGAAUAAUAAUUUAGGACUUCGGUUCUAUUUUGUUGGUUCUCGGGACCGAAGUAAUGAUUGAUAGGGAUAGUUGGGGGUGCUAGUAUUCAGCGGCCAGAGGUGAAAUUCUCGGAUUCGCUGAAGACUAACUUAUGCGAAAGCAUU
rnacentral:rRNA from 1 species